UACGAAGGGGGCUAGCGUUGCUCGGAAUCACUGGGCGUAAAGCGCACGUAGGCGGAUUGUUAAGUCGGGGGUGAAAUCCUGGAGCUCAACUCCAGAACUGCCUUCGAUACUGGCGAUCUCGAGUUCGGGAGAGGUGAGUGGAACUGCGAGUGUAGAGGUGAAAUUCGUAGAUAUUCGCAAGAACACCAGUGGCGAAGGCGGCUCACUGGUCCGGUACUGACGCUGAGGUGCGAAAGCGUGGGGAGCAAACAGG
rnacentral:rRNA from 1 species